GCAGUAUCUCGUUUGGCGAGGCUCCUAUACAAACACAGGUUACUGAUCUGACGAUAUCGAGAGAUACCCAAGGUUAAGACAGGCUCUAUCGACAUGAAGGUAUUGCCCAAAGUAACUUCCAGCAUGGCAUCAUCCAUGUGGAUACGUUGUAUAGUGCUAAAACCUGUUCGAUGGAGAUAGGAU
rnacentral:sRNA from 2 species